rnacentral:rRNA from 1 species
CCGGCGGUACAGGAUGGACCCGCGUCUGAUUAGCUAGUUGGUGAGGUAAUGGCUCACCAAGGCGACGAUCAGUAGCCGACCGGAGAGGGUGAUCGGCCACACUGGAACUGAGACACGGUCCAGACUCCUACGGGAGGCAGCAGUGGGGAAUAUUGCACAAUGGGCGAAAGCCUGAUGCAGCAACGCCGCGUGAGCGAUGAAGGCCUUCGGGUCGUAAAGCUCUGUCCUCAAGGAAGAUAAUGACGGUCUGAGGAG